rnacentral:lncRNA from 1 species
UUGAAAAAAAAAAAUAUCAGGAAAGGAGUUUAAAUUCAAAGUAAAUUUCACUCAUUUUUUUGGUCAGAUAUAAUGCUCAUGAAGCAGAAGUAGUUAGAAGUAUUCGUGAUACUUUGGGGUUUAAAUUUUGGAUCUUUUUGUCUGAAUUUCAGGUACUUGAAAAUUUUCAACAAGUCCCAAAGUGGUGUCAUCUAAAUUCUGAAGGUGUGGAGCAUUCUACCAAAUGGCUCCAUCCUCCCAUCUUUGGAGGAAUAUCGAACAGAGUAAGAGAGACUGUCUUCCCUUAUGAACCAGCUUUGUGAUCCCAG